rnacentral:rRNA from 1 species
UAGGGAAUAUUGGACAAUGGGCGAAAGCCUGAUCCAGCCAUGCCGCGUGAGUGAUGAAGGCCUUCGGGUUGUAAAACUCUUUUCUGAGGGAAGAACAUCCAGGGUAGGAAAUGAUCCUGGCUUGACGGUACCUCAGGAAUAAGCAACGGCUAACUCCGUGCCAGCAGCCGCGGUAAUACGGAGGUUGCGAGCGUUGUUCGGAAUUACUGGGCGUAAAGGGAGCGUAGGCGGUAUGUUAAGUCUGAAGUGAAAGCCCGGGGCUCAACCCCGGAAGUGCUUUGGAUACUGGCAAACUGGAGUGCGCGAGAGGAGAGCGGAAUUCAGGGUGUAGCGGUGAAAUGCGUAGAUAUCCUGAGGAACACCGGUGGCGAAAGCGGCUCUCUGGCGCGACACUGACGCUGAGGCUCGAAAGCGUGGGUAGCAAACG